rnacentral:sRNA from 1 species
AUGGCUAGGAAAGUGCUGCCACCCACCCACCUGGGCCGGAGCUGGUUCUGCUCCUGCUGCAGGGACACUGAGCUGGCUAUCUCGGCGCUUCGGGCAAGAACCGCAACAGGCUCUCCUGGGUCCUGCAGGUUUACAGCCGGGCCCCUGCCUUGUGCCUCAGCUCUUGAGAGCUGCUGCUGCCGGGUGACCUGAUCCAACCUGAUAAGGUGCCAUCUUCAGCUACCACUGCAAGGCCCUGAGGGCAACAGCAGCAUGGCACUGCCCACCCAGCUGCUGAUGGCCUGGUGCCAGCUGGGAGUCCUCCCGGCACUUCGAGGCCACUGAGCCACUCUUCCAGCCCGGCCCACCAUGGACAGGGGUAUCCAGCUUCCUCCUCAACCUCGUCCUCUGCCCCUGAGCCAGUGACACCCAAGGACAUGCCUGUUACCCAGGUCCUGUACCAGCACUAGCUGGUCAAGGGCAUGACAGUGCUGGAGGCCGUCUUGGAGAUCCAGGCCAUCACUGACAGCAGGCUGCUCUCCAUGGUGCCAGGGCCUGCCAGGCCACCAGGCUUAUGCUGGGACCCAACCCAGUGCACAAGGACUUGGCUGCUGAGCCACACACCCAGGAGAAGGUGGAUAAGUGGGCUACCAAGGGCUUCCUGCAGGCUAGGGGAGGAGCCACCCCCGCUUCCCUGUUGUGACCAGGCCUAUGGGGAGGAGCUGUCCAUAUGCCAC